rfam:Stegodyphus mimosarum contig121929, whole genome shotgun sequence.
GCCUUCGUGGUGUAGUAUGUCAGCACGUUCGACGCGUAACCGAGAAGUCCGUGGUUCGAUUCCCGGCGAAGGCG